CGGAAGUAGCUCAGUUGGUAGAGCACAACCUUGCCAAGGUUGGGGUCGCGGGUUCGAGUCCCGUCUUCCG
rnacentral:tRNA from 4 species